CAACCAAAUAAAUCCCAGAGAAGCAACAAAGGUGGACCUCGUCAUCGAGGUUUGCUUCACGUUGACGGCAGAGAAGAAGAGCAUGGGGAUCCGAUCAUCGAAAGGCUUGUGUCUUUAGAUGAGAUAGGAGCUUUCUUGAACGAACAACGGGAGACAUUUGAGAACAAGAUGGGCGAUUUGAGGGAGGAGAUAAACACAAGAUUCGCUAGUCUCCAAAAUGAUCUGGGAGGUCAUGUGUGUGGUUUGAGAAAUCAUGUCACUGAUGAGAUAAAUGUGCUCCGACGAAGGUUUGAUGAAGUUGCUACAGAAAUUAGGCAACACAAUGUUGCUGAUGAGUAUGGUGGAUUUGGUCAUGACGAUCGCGGUGGAGAUGAGUCCCGACGUGAUGUUUUUACUCCCAAUAUUUCUGCAGACAGAAAGGAUGUCAGAGAGGCUACCAAACCAGUUGUUUGCAAUAUCCCUGAUGUGUCCAUAACAUUGGGAGGUAGGGUUGGAGUUCUUGGGCCAAUUUACCUCGCUUGUGAUAUUAUGGAGGAGGCACCGAUCAUUGUACCUACAGCUGAUGCGUCCAUUGCUGGUCCAUCUAAAUGCAGACCUCGAUCAUUGAGGCUGAAGAAGGCUAAUGCAAAAUACAAAUACACCGUUCACCCGAUCGGGUCUCAAGAAGGGUAAGAAGAAUGCGUAGUUUGUAUAUUUUGAUUGACGGUAGAUAAUGGUGAUUGGAUAUGAACUUUAUGUUGAUUCAAAUUUAUAGGUUUAUAUAUUUUGAUUUGAUUAUUUUGGUACGCAAUAUGUAUUGUGGUUUAUAUGGUGGUAUUUGG
rnacentral:lncRNA from 1 species